rnacentral:tRNA from 1 species
GAAACUAUAGUCAAUAUAAUAUGAUAUAUAAUUUGCACUUAUAAGGAGUUGAAAAACUAGUUUCG